GAUGAACGCUGGCGGCGUGCCUAAUACAUGCAAGUCGAGCGAACGGACGAGAAGUUUGCUUCUUUGAUGUUAGCGGAGGACGGGAGAGUAACACGUGGAUACCCUCCCUAUCAGACUGGGAUAUUUUCGGGAAUCCGGCGCUAAUCCCGGAUAAUAUUUUGAACCGCAUGGUUCAUAAGUGAAAGACGGUCUUGCUGUCACUUCUAGAUGGAUCCGCGCUGCAUUAGCUGGUUGGUAAGGUAACGGCUUACCACGGCAACUAUGCAUAGCCGACGUGUGAGAGUGAUCGCCCACACGGGAACUGGGACACGGUCCAUAGGCCUGCGAGAGGCAGCAGUAGGGAAUCUUCCGCAAUGGGCGAAAGCCUGACGGAGCAGCGCCGCGUGAGUUAUGGAGGUCUUCGGAGCGUAAUACUCGGUUAUUAGGUAAAAACAGAUGUGUAAGGAACUGUGCACAGCUUGACGGUACCUAAUCAGAAAGCCACGGCUAACUACGUG
rnacentral:rRNA from 1 species